UGCAAGUCGAGCGGACAGAAGGGAGCUUGCUCCCGGAUGUUAGCGGCGGACGGGUGAGUAACACGUGGGUAACCUGCCUGUAAGACUGGGAUAACUCCGGGAAACCGGAGCUAAUACCGGAUAGUUCCUUGAACCGCAUGGUUCAAGGAUGAAAGACGGUUUCGGCUGUCACUUACAGAUGGACCCGCGGCGCAUUAGCUAGUUGGUGRGGUAAUGGCUCACCAAGGCGACGAUGCGUAGCCGACCUGAGAGGGUGAUCGGCCACACUGGGACUGAGACACGGCCCAGACUCCUACGGGAGGCAGCAGUAGGGAAUCUUCCGCAAUGGACGAAAGUCUGACGGAGCAACGCCGCGUGAGUGAUGAAGGUUUUCGGAUCGUAAAGCUCUGUUGUUAGGGAAGAACAAGUGCGAGAGUAACUGCUCGCACCUUGACGGUACCUAACCAGAAAGCCACGGCUAACUACGUGCCAGCAGCCGCGGUAAUACGUAGGUGGCAAGCGUUGUCCGGAAUUAUUGGGCGUAAAGGGCUCGCAGGCGGUUUCUUAAGUCUGAUGUGAAAGCCCCCGGCUCAACCGGGGAGGGUCAUUGGAAACUGGGAAACUUGAGUGCAGAAGAGGAGAGUGGAAUUCCACGUGUAGCGGUGAAAUGCGUAGAGAUGUGGAGGAACACCAGUGGCGAAGGCGACUCUCUGGUCUGUAACUGACGCUGAGGAGCGAAAGCGUGGGGAGCGAACAGGAUUAGAUACCCUGGUAGUCCACGCCGUAAACGAUGAGUGCUAAGUGUUAGGGGGUUUCCGCCCCUUAGUGCUGCAGCUAACGCAUUAAGCACUCCGCCUGGGGAGURCGGUCGCRAGACUGAAACUCAAAGGAAUUGACGGGGGCCCGCACAAGCGGUGGAGCAUGUGGUUUAAUUCGAAGSAACGCGAAGAACCUUACCAGGUCUUGACAUCCUCUGACAACCCUAGAGAUAGG
rnacentral:rRNA from 1 species